GAUGAACGCUGGCGGCGUGCUUAACACAUGCAAGUCGAACGAAGCACUUUUUUUGAUUUCCUUCGGGCCUGUUUCUUUUGUGACUGAGUGGCGGACGGGUGAGUACCGCGUGGGUAACAUGCCUUGUACAGGGGGGUAACAGUUGGAAACGGCUGCUACUACUGCAUAAGCGCACAGCAUCAGUUGCUGCAGUGUGAAAAGGUCCGGUGGCAUAAGAUGGUCUCGCGUUGGUUUAGCUUGACGGUGGGGUAACGGCCAACCAAGGCGAGGAACCAUACCCGAGCGGGGAGGGGGACCGGCCACAUUGGGACUGAGACACGGCCCAAACUCCUACGGAAGGGAGCAGUGGGGAAUAUUGCACAAGGGGCGAUAGCCUGAUGCAGCGACGCCGCGGGAGCGAGCAAGUAUUUCGGUAUGUAAAGCUGUAUCAGAAGAGGAGAGAGUGACGGUAACGGACAAAGAAGCACCGGCUAAAUACGUG
rnacentral:rRNA from 1 species